rnacentral:rRNA from 1 species
UUGAAGAAACGUUUUCUGCGUCCAGGAUUAGCCUAAAUCCUUUGGGAUAAGGUAUCAUGGAGGGUGAGAAUCCCGUUCAUGGUUAAUCUUAAGGAUGCUCUACGAUACGUUCUCCAAGAGUCGAGUUGUUUGGGAUUGCAGCUCAAAAUGGGAGGUAAAUUUCUCCUAAGGCUAAAUAUUGGCGAGAGACCGAUAGCGAACAAGUACCGUGAGGGAAAGAUGAAAAGAACUUUGAAAAGAGAGUUAAACAGUACGUGAAAUUGUUGAAAGGGAAACGAUUGAAGUCAGUCAUACUAACGGGAAAUCAACCUCUUGAGUUUGGUCUCGUGGGUUUCGAAGAGUUUUAAAAGCCUUCGGAUUUUCAAGAUUGGGCUCUUCUGGGGUACUUUCUCGUACGGUUAGUCAACAUCGGUUUUGAAUGUCAUAAAAUGACUGGAGGAAUG